ensembl:lncRNA
AUGCUUUUUCAAAAAGCACUAAAUAGCAACACCUUUUCCGGGAAGACAGGCUUCCACCAAGUAGGGAAGUCAUGCUCAGCUUUUAAAAUGGAAAAUAGCUAUUGCAUAAUUACCAUUUUAAUCAGAGAAUUAAGGGGAAAAGGAAGAAUCCACUCCACAUCUACAGCCUUAGGAUCAGCUAGAAGGUCAGCUUCUUCCCCGGAUUGUUCAGUGAGACUGAUUUCCAGACAUGGACCAGCCGGCCGCAGCUGCUGGUGCCCUGCUGCACCCUGCUCCCCCUGCCUGGAUUCACUGGCAUCCUGGCAGCAGUGUGGGCGCUGGGGCAGGCAUCUGGAGAUGGUGCAUGGCUCUGGGCUUGGCAUGCCUGGCAGAAGCCCCUGCUGCAGAGAAGGAGAUGAGGAGAGAAGCCUGCUCUGGUCUGGAGGAGCAUCCCGGUCUCUGAGCACAUGGACACACGGUGACUCUGAGACACAAGGGGAAGGUCAUCACAGCUGUCCCACACAUGGUGCUGACCACAGUGACCCCAGAGGACACGUGGUGCUCUGUGUCUGUGACGAUGCAGGAAAGCCCUGGAGGAAAACAUGUCACCAAAAAGGGAUGAAAUAAGGCUGUGAUUGCAAUUCUGAAUUUUUUUUUUCUGAAAACAUAGCACAUUUUAUGAUGCGAUUAUACAAUGCAAUUAUGAAAAUCGUACACACUCAAGAUCGAUUUUUCCAGAGGAAUCAACAUCAGGGCUGUAUUCUUCACCUGCAUGACAUAUAACACAGCAGUUUCACGGCAUUUUUUUGGGAACUGAUCAUUCAGCCAGGCCAAUGGCAAUGUUUUGUAUUUCUAAUUCUUCUUUCCCUGCCUUAGGACAGUUUGGGGAAACAAACAUUAUACCGGCUAGAGUGCUACUUUAAUUUUUACCUUUUCUCAACUAUCUCAUAGUGUGUUCUAGCCCAGCCUGGGAGAAUCUGGGGCCUCUCCUUUGCCCCAUUCCCCAGCCAUCUGGCAAUGUCUGGUGACAUUUUUUCUGUCAAGACUGGAGGGUGCCACUGGUAGUGACCAGAUAGACCCCAGGGAUGCUGCUGAACGCCCUACAAUUCACAGCGCAGCCCCAGCAACAGAGCUCUCCAGUCCAAAACGUUAAAUUUUGCAGGAUUUCGCAAUUCUGAAUUUUUUAAAGAACACCGUUUCCUAGUGAAUAAAUACGUAGCUGGUAAUGACUGGUUAUUUGAAUGAUUCGGUGCAAAUUCCCCGAAACAAUAAAGCUGGCUCAGUUUGUCUAAAGUAGAACAUGUUCGACCUGAAACUUCUUGGAAAUACACAUAUUUUGUAAGAUGAAAUCCAAUUUAAUAAAUUUGUCUUUCAUGACUUUUAUUCAUAGAAAAACCAGAGAGUAUUGUGACAUUUAAGAAUCAAGUAAUUUAAUAUUAAAACCAGAGCAUAUAAAUGACAAAACCAAGCCGUUCUGAGGCACAGUAGCACUUGGUUUGCUAAGUCCGUAAAACUACUUGCAUUUGCUGGUUAGAUUUAAUUUUCUAAAACUACGCAGUCCUGUUUAGUUACUAGUUAGAUGGUUUUCAUAGGAAUCUAGUUAGGAAGAGCAAUUGACUUGUGUCUGUUCAUUGCUAUUUUCAGUUAAGAGCCAGUCCGUACCAGGGGUAACUAUUGGAACUUGUAGAGUGAUCCAUAGCACUUGAAUGAAUAGUUGAGCCUCUGAAGUUACUCAAGCAACUAUUUUAACAUUACAGAUUUAAGGACAUUCCUUGCUGCAAAUGUGUGAUCACAGGAGUCCACAGCUGAAUGGGUGUGAGGCCAGGAGCCUUUUGGAUAUGGUAAACGCCUUACUGUCAAUCAUUUUUACUCUCUAUAUAGUUACACAUGGAACAUAGCCAUGUGUAAAGUGAAUGUUUGGUCCUCACCGUGAGGAAAGCCCAGUCACACUCUGUGAUUUAGACACUUUAUUGUCAUCAAUGUCAUGUUGCAAAAGGCUUUCUAUCCCUUAGUUACUCUUGGCAUCCCUGUUUGUCCCUAUUUCCCUAUUUUCUGUAAGAAAGCUGGGUCUGGAAAGCCGGAGACCUCCCAUUCAGCGUGAAGCCAAGCUGCGUCUGGAAGCCGAGUCCACUUCCGCACCCCGUGUUUUUGGCCAGAUGGUUCAAUAGAUCCCUUUUGGCAUAUUUUGGUUCAAUUCCAAAUUAGAGCCCACCCCGCUGGUGUCUCCCUUUGCGGGUUAUUUCAGUGCUGUGGGUGCUGUUCAGGCAACCUGGUAGCGUGACCUAUGUCUGUUGUCCUGGUUCUCCAUCCAAACCUGAGUAACGGGACAAAGGUCUCUCCUGAAGAUUGGCAGGAUAGCGAAACUCCACAGAGAGGCCUGAUUCAAAAGUGCUAUUCUUUUCAAACAAAGGAUGGAUAAACUCACAGUGCACAUUUAAAAAGGUUAAAUCCGAUAUAGCCGGAGCAAUAUUUGUUUAACUACACAAAGUGAAAGAUGAUUUGGCUGAGGGACCAGGGAGAGACCUUUUAUUUGAUCUGAUUUUACAUAAACACUUCUGCACACAGAGGCUCCUGGACCUCAUCAUAACCAUCACUGGAUGUCUGCUCAGGGGACCCUUCAUCUUCACUCCAAAUGUCAUUUCUUAGAGCUGACUGCAGAGCCCACAGUGAUAGCUCAAGUUUGUUCCUUAUCAGAUGCUCUCAGCUGCAGACACAAUACCUGGAGAUUGGCUUAGGUGUUUUUUUUUUUUCUUUUUUGCUCCAAGAAAAGUUUGCAAACAGAAAGAUGUGUAUGAGAAUACUCUGCACUGGGGGGGUUAUUGAGAGAUGAUCUCAGUCAUCUGAAGUGAAGAGCAGCACUUGGAAGGAGGCAUCUCCCUUGCAUGUUCCCCUCUGCACUGGCUGCACAGGAAGCCCCAGGACUAGUGACAGAAAGAAACCCACCUUCAGCAAGCGUGAAACUCAUGUGUGCCUUAAGGGUCUUGAUGAAAUGAACAUUUCUUCAAAUAAACCAGGACUCAAUGGGUCGGAAUGAUCCAUUAGCCUGCUUUUUGCCUGCUUGUUGUAUAUUUAGGAAUAAGAGCUCAAAUUCAGGGAAAACCAGUCAUGUUAGGGACUGACAUCGAGUGUAUUUUGCCAGGUUGGUGUUUAUGGUGUAGACUCCCACCCCACAUGUAAUUUAGAGGUUGAUGGAUUUAUAUUGGGAAUACAAGCCAAGGUACUGGAUCAUCCGAAAUCAUUAACGGAGCGCCAGAGUGGGCUCACCGGCUUCUGUUUACUGAGAUAGGGAAUAAGAAAACAAGCUCACAUUUAUAUAAAUAACUUCACAAGCCAAUGGGAACAAAUCAGUAAUGCUUCUUUAGCUAAGACGCUAUGACUAGAGUACUUGGCUCCAUUAAGCUUAUAAGAAAUCAAAGUUGAAGAGAGAAGGCAACGCUUUGCUGCCUGGCACAGCUCUGGAAGCUCCUGGGAAUAUUUUCUCAGAAUAAGGAGAAGGAAGAGGAGGAAGAGGCAAAGCAAAACUGAAGUACAGUUGGUAGUCUUUGCCGUGUAGGGCCCACGGUUGUGAUGUGCAGAUCUGGCUUCUCCAGGGGCAGGGCUCAGGCACUUAGGAAUGAAUUGGCUCAGGAGCCUCUGUUGUGAGGCUCUGGGUCUGUUUAUCAAACCCAUGCCGGAAACACCAUAGUUGUUAAUAACUUUGGAGUGAGACAUACCAAAGUUCAAACCUUAAUCGCCUCUGCCGCUAGCUGGGUAACCUUGGCACUUUACCUAAACAGAGCUGAGUAACCUUGGCAAGUUAUCUGAACUAAGCUGACCUCUGUCAACCUAAAUAAUAGAGAAGGAAACUACCUAAAAGAUGAUUUUAUACACUGUUGGUGGGAGUGUAAAUUAGUUCAACCAUUAUGGAAGACAGUGUGGUGAUUCCUCAAGGAUCUAGAAAUAGAAAUAUCAUUUGACCCAGCAAUCCCAUUACUGGGUAUAUACCCAAAGGAUUAUAAAUCAUUAUAUUAUAAAGACACAUGCACAUUUAUAUUUACUGCAGCACUAUUCACAAUAGCAAAGACUUGGAACCAACCCAAAUGCCCAUCAAUGAUAGACUGGAUUAAAAAAAAUGUGGCACAUAUGCACCAUGGAAUACUAUGCCGCUAUAAAAAAGGAUGCAUUCAUGUCCUUUGCAGGGACAUGGAUGAAGCUGGAAACCAUCAUUCUCAGAAAACUGACACAAGAACAGAAAAUCAGACAUCACAUGUUCUCACUCAUAAGUGGGUGUCAAAGGAUGAGAACACAUGGGCACAGGGAGGGAAACAUUACACACUGGGGCCUGCCGGGGCUUGGUGGGGAGGCUAGGGGAUGGACAGCAGAGGCUGGGGGGAUGGGGGAGGGAUAGCAUUAGGAGAAAUACCUAAAGCAGAUGAUGGGGUGAUGGAUGCAGCAAACCGCCAUGGCACGUGUAUACCUAUGUAACAAACCUGCACGAUCUGCACAUGGACCCCAGAGCUUAAAGUAUAAUAAUAACGAAAGAUGAUGGUAGGCAUUGCGAUGGGAAUGUGUGUGCCACGGUAAACAAAUUGCUUAUUCGGGGAGGUAAAAAGAGAUAAAGUUGUUUUUUUUUUAAAAAGAAAAUGCGGAGUGUAGCACUGUUUUGAGAUAAUUAUCCUUGGCUACAAGGAUCAGUCACAAG